rnacentral:lncRNA from 1 species
GAAUUCUGUGCAGUUCGACUCUCAGUUCUGCCACUUAGUAGUGUGAGUUUGGGAUGAUGAUGACUUAGCCUUCUGAGUGUAGUCUUACAAUGAACGAUGGUAAGGGAUUCCUACAGCAGUGGGGAGAAAAGGAGACACAGCAGUUAGAGUCUACUCCCUUGAUACUCAUUUUCACUUGCUGUGGAAGGUAGUUUCAGAGAUCAGCUCCACUGGUGACCACACUAAGACCCUGACUGCGACCUCACGAAAGACCCAGAGCAGGAGCCACUCAGCCAAGCACUUCUGGACCUCUGGCCCACAGAAACUGGGAGUGAUAUUGAACCCUGGCUCUACCUUGUCUCUGCUUCUAAUGGUACAUUCUGCGCCAGGCAGAGUGCAGUGAGCCACGCUUGCCCUGGACCACACCCUUCACUAGCCAGCGAGUCACUAGCAACAUGACCUCAAGUGUGCCUUUUCCAGGACAGCUUCUGGACCUGUAGCUGUGGAUGGUGAAGGCCUUGAUAACAUCAUUUGGUACUUCUCUAUCCACUCUUGUUGCAGGCCCUGCAGAUGUUAGGUGCUGGUCUGGACACAGGUGGCAAUAAUUUCCGGUGAGCUAAAAUACA